rnacentral:rRNA from 1 species
CCUACGGGUGGCAGCAGUGAGGAAUAUUGGUCAAUGGACGAGAGUCUGAACCAGCCAAGUAGCGUGAAGGAUGAAGGCCCUAUGGGUUGUAAACUUCUUUUAUAAGGGAGUAAAGGGUUCCACGAGUGGGCGUAAGUAGAGACCCUGAGGAAAAGGCAUGGCAAAAUCCGUGGCAUCAGGCGCGGGAAGGCGGGGGGAUGGAGGGUUAUCCUGGGUUAUUGGGUUUUAAGGGGUCGUAGGGGGGUGGUGCAGGUAGUGGGGAAAGUUUGGGGCUUCACCUUCGACGUGCAGUUGAAACUGGCACUCUUGAGUACGUUAGAGGUAAGCGGAAUGCGUGGUGUAGCGGUGAAAUGCUUAGAUAUCACGCAGAACGCCGAUUGCGAAGGCAGCUCACUGGCCUUCAACUGACACUGAGGCUCGAAAGUGUGGGUAUCAAACAGGAUUAGAUACCCGUGUAGUC